GUGUGUUCACACUAUGCGUUCA
rnacentral:siRNA from 1 species